rnacentral:rRNA from 1 species
UACGUAGGAGGCGAGCGUUGUCCGGAUUUACUGGGCGUAAAGGGCGCGCAGGCGGCAGUGCAAGUACGGAGUGAAAUCUCCCUGCUCAACGGGGAGGGUGCUCUGUAAACUGCACAGCUAGAGGACGGUAGAGGGGGGUGGAAUUGCUGGUGUAGCGGUGAAAUGCGUAGAGAUCAGCAGGAACACCCGUGGCGAAGGCGGCCCCCUGGGCCGUAAAUAACCUGACGCUGAGGCGCGAAGGCUAGGGGAGCGAACGGG